rnacentral:rRNA from 1 species
AUUGAACGCUGGCGGCAUGCUUUACACAUGCAAGUCGAACGGUAACAGGCCGCAAGGUGCUGACGAGUGGCGAACGGGUGAGUAAUGCAUCGGAACGUGCCCAGUCGUGGGGGAUAACUACUCGAAAGAGUAGCUAAUACCGCAUACGAUCUAUGGAUGAAAGCGGGGGACCGUAAGGCCUCGCGCGAUUGGAGCGGCCGAUGUCAGAUUAGGUAGUUGGUGGGGUAAAGGCUCACCAAGCCAACGAUCUGUAGCUGGUCUGAGAGGACGACCAGCCACACUGGGACUGAGACACGGCCCAGACUCCUACGGGAGGCAGCAGUGGGGAAUUUUGGACAAUGGGCGCAAGCCUGAUCCAGCAAUGCCGCGUGCAGGAAGAAGGCCUUCGGGUUGUAAACUGCUUUUGUACGGAACGAAACGGCUCUGGUUAAUACCCGAGGCUAAUGACGGUACCGUAAGAAUAAGCACCGGCUAACUACGUG